ensembl:lncRNA
GCUUGACCAGGCUGGGAGACCAGCUUAAACCAGCAAAGACCAGCCAACCAGCCUAGGAUGCUUUUAUCCUUUUUUCAGUAGGGUACAGACUUCCUUUCAACUCAAAACAGUCUGGCCAUUCUUCUCUGACCUCUUUGAUCAACAAGGUGUUUGCACCCACAAAAUUUUAGUUUUUUUGUAAACUCUAGGGAUUAUUGUGUGUGAAAAUCCUGGGAGUUCAGCUGUUUCUGAAGUACUCAAUCCAGCCCAUCUGGCACCAAGAACCAUGCCACUGUCACUAAGAUCACAGUCCCCUCACCCCUAAUUCUGAUGCUCACCGUGGUUGUAAGAAUAAUAGUGUAAUAGUGAGUUGCAUGUUAAUACAAGCAGUAAUCAUCGUUGAAAUCAGUGUUUUUUGACUGUACACACAUGUUGAAGGACUUGAGAGCAGCUGAAGAAUAAUUAUGCUGAGUUUUGUCUUUGGGCUACACAAACUACUUGAACAAAUAUUUACGAAUGAUGAAUGUAUCGAAUCAUCAGUUUUUGACUGUUUGUGCUUCAUGUCCAGGCAGAAAACAGCACUGACACUCCCACGUUGCAGGAUGGUGAGUGUAGGAUGCAAAUCUGUGUGUGGCGAGUGUGCUUUCUUGGCUAGCUAGGUGGUGUUCAGGUCCAGGUGAGGUCCACCAUGAUGGUCACUCCAAGCAUUCUUUGACUCUCUCAGAAGCUUGGAGUGAACACUUAGGAAUGGUAUGGGGAACUUAUUCAGAAGACAUACGGAAACACGUUUUUGAGCCACUUUUACUGAUACUUUUAGCUACUGAUUCGGGGUUAGCUCAGAAGCUUACUGUCUAACUUCACUUGAGUGGAACUCACUUGUAUUGUAUGUGGAUUGCAGCCAUGGCCCAAUAACAAUGAGUGUACAUGUAUGAGCUUAUGGGACAUGAAAGUAGUGCCUUUGUCACUGCUAUGUGGCCUCAGAGCUUUAUAUUUAAAAAAAAAAAAAAAACAGUACAGGAGGAGCCAAUUGUUUCAAAUAUAGAGCAUCUAUCUGAAAUACCGUGUUGUCCAUUAAUCCCUCUUUUGGGAGAUAAUCUGUGUGAUGUUCUACACCUUCUGUUCUUUAUUUGUAUAUUUUGUAUAUUGUGUGUGUGUGUGUGUGUGUGUGUGUGAGUGCGUGCACCGCAUGGGGUCAGGUGAGUAAUUGCUCCAAAUAUUUGAAUAAAUUAACCACAGAUACGAGGAAACAGGGCUAAGGACUAAAACAGAACAAUUAAAUCAAACCCUCCAGACAUACAAAACAGAAACUGAAUGAAAUUUAAAUAUUUAUUUCUGAAGAAAGUAUCAUCCAAAACUAAUAGAACCAUGAUUUUUUGUUGUUGUUGUUGUUACAAUAUGGAAGCAGGUAAAAACAUAUAAAGUGCAGAAGGUCAACUUUUAUUUUUAUGGCGGCCCCAGAGCAAAAUACUGCUGCAUUUGACUAAAGGUCGUAAUUCUUGAAUUCAUACUCAGGAACUUGGGAUAGUCUCCUCAGCUCUGAGUUCCUCCGAGUUCAUCAAGUGAUGUCAAAUAAACAUGGCUGCUCCCAUCAUCAACAGUAAACACAGCAGUAUGUCUUACCUUUAAAUGAGUUUAUACAAGUAUUUGCUGUAGAUCAAUCAGCAUAUAGAUAUAUUUGCUUGUUAAAUCUAUGACACUGAUUAUACAGGUUUAAUUUCCUCCUUUUUUUUUUUUUUUACUUCAAUUUUGUUUACAGAAUUUGAAAAUGACAUAAUUCCAAGCUCCAACUUCUCACUUACGACUUAAAUCGUAUACAGAAUACACGCACAGAAAUUGAAUGUUAAAAAUGAAAAAUAAGUUAAAAAUAAUUACCAAAUGAUAUUACCAAACGAUAUGACUGCUUCUACCAUCAGAGGAGGUAAUGUGUUUUAUAGUGUGUUGUGAAUUGUUUGUAUUUUAUGUUCUAUUUUCUUCUUCUGCACACUUUACAGUACGGAACAUUUUCAGGAGUCUCCAGGGAUGUGGUGGUUAGUCCGUAUGGGCAUAUUAACUAUUCAACACAAGACCUCUGAAGGUGUGCUGUGGUAUCUGGCACCAAGACGUUAUCAACAGAUCCUUUAAGUCCUGUAAGUUGCGAGGUGGGGCCUGUAAGAGGUUCGGUCGGAUUGAGAUCUGGGGAAUUUGGAGGUCAAUUCAACACCUUGAACUUGUUUUCAUGUUCUUCAAACUGUUCCUGAACAAUUUUUGCAGUGUUGCAGGGAGCAUUAUACUGCUGAAAGAUGCCACUGACAUUAGGGAAUACCGUUGCCAUGAAGGGGUGUACUUGGUCUGCAACAAUGUUUAGGUAGGUGAUACCUGUCAAAGUAACAUCCACAUGAAUGCUAGGACCCAAUAUUUGAACAUUAUCCAGGGCAGUGUUUUGAAACUGGGGGGCCACCAGAUGGCGCCAGGGGGGCCACAUAGAAAUUCUAGAACAUUAUUAUUAUUUUUUAAAUUAAUUUUAUCCGUAAGUCAGGAUUAUCAACCUUCAAACUAUGAUGUAAAUAAAAAUGAGAAAUAUUCAUAAAUUAAAUCAAUUAUACACAGCACACUAAGACACCCAUCAAACAGAGACAUCCGUUGAUAUACUAGUGUAUAGUACUGUUAGCCACAUGCUGAUAAAACCUAAGACUAUUUGUUUUUAAGAUAGAGGACGUAGUCUCUUAGCCUAGCAUGGAAAAAAUAAAAAUGGGGAAAAUGUGAUGACUCUAGGGGGCCCCAAAGGGAUGCACCCUAACAAGGGGGGCGUGUUUGAGAGCCACUGGUCCAGAGCAUCACACUGCCUCCACCAGCUUGCCUUCUUCCGAUAGUGCAUCCUGGUGCCAACUCUUCCCCAGGUGUUUUUGGUGGUGGUCAGGGUCAGCAUGGGUGCUCUGACCGGUUUGCAGCUACGCAGCCCCGUACACAGCAAGCUGUGAUCCACUGUGUGUAUCAACACACCUUUCUAUUAGAGCCAGCAUUGACUUUUUCAGCAAUUUGUGCUACAGUAGCUCUUCUGUGGGAUCGGACCAACUGGCUAGCCUUUGCUCCCCAUGAGCAUGAGAAAUGUGGCGAAUCUAACAAAAAACAAACAAACAGAUGAACUAAAUUUCUUUACAAAUGAGUCAAAUUACAACAGUAAGGUUCUUCUGUUUUUGUGUAUAGAUCAUAAUAAAUAGUUUUAGGUCUUCAAAUGAAAUACAGCAUAAAACAAAGGCAACCUGAGUAAACACACAAUACAGCUUUAUUUAUUUAUUUAUUACAAAAACGUUAACCAACACCUAUCACCAAUGUGAAAAACUAAGUGCCCCCUUAAACUUAAAAUCUGGUUGUGCCACCACUAGCAGCAAUAACUGCAACCAAAUUCUUCCGAUAACUGGACGUUGGUCUUUCAUUUAUUUCUAGGACUAGGAUUUACUCCUGUACUUUGGAUCAUUGUUUUGCUGCAUAAUUAAGUUGCGCUAGAAUUUCAACUUACAGACUGAAGACUGGACAUUCUCCUUUAGAGUUUUCUUGUAGAGAGCAGAAUUCAUGUUUCCCUCAAUUAUUGCAACUUGCCCAGGUCCUGAAGCAACGUCUUAAAGCAGAAUUCUGUGUUUGGUUUACGCCAGAUGUAACGGGAUCCCUGUCUUCCAAACAGUUCCACUUUGGACUCAUCAGUCCACAGAACAUUCUCCCAAAAGGUUUGAGGAUCAUCAAGGUCUGUUUUGGCAAAAUUCAGACGAGCCUUAAUGGAUGCCAUCCUUGAUGCCAUUCUUAUGGAUGCCAUAUUUGCCCAGUGUCUUUCUGAUAGUGGAGUCAUGAACAGUGACCUUUAUUGAUACAAAUGAGGCCUGUAUGUCCUUUGAUGUUGUCCUUGGCUCUUUUGUCACUUCCUGGAUGAGUAGUUGCUGUGCUCUUGGAGGAAUUUUGGAAGGUCGGCCACUUCUUGGAAGGUUCACUACUGUGCAGUUUUUUUUCCAUUGGGAGAUACGGCUCUUACUGUGCUCCUUUGGAGUCCCAGAGCCUUUGAAAUAGCUUUGUAACCCUUCCCAGACUGAUGUAUUUCAAUCAGCUUCUCCCUCAUCAUUUCUGGACUCUCUUUCAACUUUGGCAUAGUGCAUUACUGGGUAAGACCUUUUAACCAACUUCAUGUUGAAAAAGUUCUAUGUAAGUGUUGAUGUGAUUGAACAGGGUUUGCAGUAAUCAGGUGUGGUUGUGUCUAGUCCAGCUGAACCCCAUUAUUAAUGCAGUUUCAUAGAUUUGGGGAAUUCGUAAUUACGGGGGCAAGUAAAUAACAUUAUCAUUUAAAAUUCUGUAUUUUGGGUUUACUCAGGUUGCCCUUGUUUUAUAUUUGAUUUUGUUUUAAUUUCUGAAAUUAGUUAGUAUGAGAUGCACACAAAAACAGAAGAAAUCAGGAAAAUAUUUUUUCACAGCACUGUGUGUCAGACUUGUAUUAUUUGACUCUUUAUAAGUCUGUUCAGUGCUGGCUUUAAGACCAGACUACUUUUCUAUCUAUCUUUUUGCUCUCUUGUUAAAAAUUGAUGCACGUAGUUAGUUAAUUCAAGUCCAUUCAAGUCUCGUUGACUCUCAACUGCCUAGUACGGGGUUACUCUGAUAAAUGUAUCCUAUAGUGUAAGUUUAGUCUCUUGACUUCAUUUUUUUUGAGGCAAUAUGUUAUUAACCUCAUCGUUAAUGUCGUCCUGCCCCACCAGAUGUGCGGUCACGAUCCGCUGCUGUAUUUCACUGAUGGUUGUUUUAAGGAUUUUCAUUCAAACUUGCAUCACUUUUUUUCCUCUCAUAAACCUUUACGAUAUGUAGUGUGUGUUAAUUCAGUUCGAAUGUGAUUGAUUUGAAUUCUGUCAUUAAAGGUUGUUUUGAGGAAUCA